rnacentral:rRNA from 1 species
GACGAACGCUGGCGGCGUGCCUAAUACAUGCAAGUCGAGCGGACGGAUGGGAGCUUGCUCCCAGCCCGUCAGCGGCGGACGGGUGAGUAACACGUGGGCAACCUGCCUGUAAGACUGGGAUAACUCCGGGAAACCGGGGCUAAUACCGGAUAACUCUUUCCCUCACAUGAGGGAAAGCUGAAAGAUGGCAUCUCGCUAUCACUUACAGAUGGGCCCGCGGCGCAUUAGCUAGUUGGUGAGGUAACGGCUCACCAAGGCGACGAUGCGUAGCCGACCUGAGAGGGUGAUCGGCCACACUGGGACUGAGACACGGCCCAGACUCCUACGGGAGGCAGCAGUAGGGAAUCUUCCGCAAUGGACGAAAGUCUGACGGAGCAACGCCGCGUGAGUGAUGAAGGUUUUCGGAUCGUAAAACUCUGUUGUCAGGGAAGAACAAGUACCGGAGUAACUGCCGGUACCUUGACGGUACCUGACCAGAAAGCCACGGCUAACUACGU